rnacentral:rRNA from 1 species
UACGGGGGGAGCAAGCGUUGUUCGGAUUUACUGGGCGUAAAGGGCGCGUAGGCGGUCAGCACAAGUCAGUUGUGAAAUCUCCGGGCUUAACCCGGAAAGGUCAACUGAUACUGUGCGACUAGAGUGCGGAAGGGGCAACUGGAAUUCUCGGUGUAGCGGUGAAAUGCGUAGAUAUCGAGAGGAACACCUGCGGCGAAGGCGGGUUGCUGGGCCGACACUGACGCUGAGACGCGAAAGCGUGGGGAGCGAACAGG